rnacentral:ncRNA from 1 species
UUUUGCGUUACUGGCGGAUUUAUGUGGGUAACCACAGGGGAGCGCAGAACGAAUGUGUCGACCGCCUGGGCAA